UGUCAAAAUUCUUUUUAGCCUAGGGAAAAAAAUACUCCUUUGCUUAAGUGCCACAUUGCUACAUUUACUUCUGCAGGUUAAUAUAGGAAAUAUAAGCGCCACUGAUCAAGAGGUGGAGAACAUACCGAAACCUGAGAUACUGGCAAAACAGCAGAACUCCUUCAGAGAAACCCUCCCAUCCAGGGUCAAUGAUCAAUGAGACCAAUGAAAAGCAUGUUUUUGGCCCUGGGGAGACUCUGCACCCGUGGCAGUAGAGCUAAGUUCUUGAAGACAAUUUAUGCUUCAGAAAUCCUUGGACUCUCUACUUCUGCUAUUCCACAAAUGAGCGAUCUCAUAUGGCAUUUUUCUUUCUCUUUCUGGCUUACUUCACUUAGAAUGAACAUAGGCAAAACAUUAUCUGUCAUACAUUUCAAAAACUUUCUCCUAGAAGAAAUAAAAGCAAGAAUAAACAAAUGGGACCUAAUGAAACUUACAAGCUUCUGCACAGCAAAGGAAACCAGAAGUAAAACAAGAAGAAAACCUACGGAAUGGGAGAAAAUUUUUGCAAGUGAAACCGACAAAGGCUUGAUCUCCAGAAUAUAUAAGCAGCUCAUACGACUCAAUAAGAAAAAAAUAAACAACCCAAUCCAAAAAUGGGCAGAAGACCUAAACAAGCAAUUCUCCAAGGAAGACAUACAAAUGAUCAAAAAGCACAUGAAAAAAUGUUCAAUAUCACUAAUUAUCAGAGAAAUGCAAAUCAAAACUACAAUGAGGUAUCACCUCACACCAGUCAGAAUGGCCGUCAUUCAAAAAUCCACAAAUGACAAAUGCUGGAGAGGCUGUGGAGAAAGGAGAACCCUCCUUCACUGCUGGUGGGAAUGCAGUUUGGUGCAGCCACUAUGGAAAACAGUGUGGAGAUUCCUCAAAAGACUAGGAAUAGACUUACCAUAAGACCCAGGAAUCCCACUCCUGGGCUUGUAUCCAGAAGGAACCCUGCUUCAGGAUGACACCUGCACCCCAAUGUUCAUAGCAGCACUAUUUACAAUAGCCAAACCAUGGAAACAGCCUACAUGUCCAUCAACAGGUGACUGGAUAAAGAAGAUGUGGUAUAUUUAUACAGUGGAAUACUACUCAGCCAUAAAAACUGACAACAUAAUGCCAUUUGCAGCAACAUGGAUGCGCCUGGAGAAUGCAAACUUCUUGCAGUAGGAAUUCUUUGUUCUUGAAGCCAUCCGUGUGGGUCAGGCCAUAGUGUCCCUGUAAACCUCCAACAAAACAAAGGUUAUUCUCUAGUUUGCAACUUGCCAUCUCUACAUAAGUGCAGAAGUGCUAACAUCCUUAAAGGUCAGAGCCCAGAGAACAGGCUCUCCUGUCUAUUUCACACUAAAGGCAACAUUGUUUCACAAAAGGUGCACAGCUGGCAAGACGGAGCUUGGGAAACACGGCACACUUUUCAAAACUAAAGGAACAGAUCUAAUACCGAGUCAGAUUUGUUCUCCUCUAUUACAUUAAGAGAAAAGACAGUUAAUAAAAUGUACAUAUGAUUACAAGUGUAAAUAAAUAAGUCAUAGACCUAAAAGAUAGUGGGUGUGUAGCCUACAACAGCAGCCUGGCGCCACACCACAGGACUGCCCACUACACAGGUGCUCACUUUCUGCUCCAGCCUAGUCUUGAAGUACUUGAGUCCAUCUGCUUCUCUUGCCUGGUUAUUGUUUCCACCUUUCCAGCCGUUAGUUUUAUUAUUUCUGUUUCUGGCCUUUUCUUGCACUCUUAAUUUUUUCUACACUUGACUCAUGUUAACAGCCUUGAUUUCCCCAGCUUCAGCCCACCAUUCGGGAAGACUUUCUACACUUGUCCUAUAUUAUCUAAAUGCAUCAAGUUGUAAAGGCAGGGCCCUCCCAUUGUAUACAAUUGAAACGAGUGUUUUGGGGUCUUAGGAUAAUGGGUAAUACUUUUUUUCUUUCCAAACUUUCCUAUUCCAGUUCCACUGCAGUAAACAUUUUUUUUAAGGUGAAAUCUAGUUGACACACAAUAUUAUGUUAGUUUCAGGUGUACUACGUGGUGAUUUGACAUUUGCAUUGAGGUGGGUAGCCCCAGAAAAAAAGACUGGCAGGACCCCCAGUCAGGGCCACUACUCUCCUGCCAGCACCAUCUGGUUCCCUGGCCCAGUGGCUUUAUCUCACUUUUUACCUCUGAAACGGCUAACUUCUAGGAAAGUGGAGCUCACUCCUGAAUGGUCCAUUUCCCUCACUCCUGACUGGUUAUUUCUCUCUCCCCUGAUUGGUCCAUUUCCCUCAUUCCUGAUUGGUUAUUUCUCUCCCCUCUGAUUGGUCCAUUUCUACAAAGGCUGUUUCUAAUUAGUCAAAUUUUCUUAUACUUUAUUUGCAUAUGAAUGUUGCGAAGUGUAAACUGGCAGCCUAUAAAAGCCUGUGUAAACCUACAGAUGGGGUCCAGAGCUUGGAGUGUUAACUACUCUGGGCCCACUGGCGUGAUAAACCAGAGUUCUCCAACUCUUCUAGUGCUGCUUGGUUUCUUGCCCAGAUCCAGGUUGCUGUCACAACUGAGCUGUAACAUGUUUUUCUGCAACAUUUCUGGAGGCCCCAGUGAGAUUCCAACCACCCCGGCCCCUUGAGCCACCAGGACAGUGGAACGACCACCUGGAGGUCGGGAACUCCAAAAGUGAAUGAGGAGGCACGCCACCCAACAGUAUUCCGAGUCCUCCUUCACGGAGGUAAUUCAGUCCUCCGGGUGGCUGUGCCCCAACUGGACUCAGUGGAGGGACAGACCAACUCACCAAGCAAUACGGCCGAACAAGUUGUUGUGAUUGUGGGGGCAUUGGUUGAGUGCAGCUGUGUCCACCUGGCUGGGCUUCAUUGUUGCUGUAGCUACAUCAAGUACACAACAAGCUUCCAGUUCCUCCAAUGGAAUUCUGCCAUGGCAUUGAUCUCAGAGGGAGGUCUGAGGAUUUCCUGGGUAUUCCUGUACCACCAUCAACUUUUAGCAGACCUGCAGACCUGCAUUACAGUCUCUCUCUGUGCCCUUGACCUAUUCCAUUGGUAGACUGCUGCAUUUGUCACUCAAGGCAAGGCUUUGUUGAAGGCCUGUGUGCUCCUAGGUUCUCCAGGUCUUCCUGCUGCACCUCAAACCUUGGGAAGGCCAGUCAGCCUGUCCAGCCAAGGAUGUCACACAUCUCCUUCCCGGCAUCUGCUGUUUCUUACGAGCACCUGAUGGAGGCCAGUGGGACACUUUUUAUGAGUAGGUAUGGAUUCCUCUUAUGCCAAGUUUGCUCAAGAUUCUAGCCCUCUCCAAUGAAAUUAUUCUGUAUGAUACUAUAGUGACUAUAUGUCAUUAUGCAUUUGUCAAAACCCACGGAAUGUACAACAUCCAGAGUACACCCUAAUGGAAACUAUGUACUUUGGUCGGUAAUAAAGGGCCCAUGUUGGUUCACUGAUUGUAGCAAAUAUGCCACAGUGAUGAGGGAUGCUGAGGGUAGAGGAGUAUAUAUGAGGGGGUGGGGAGGGCUAUGUGGGAACUGUCUGUACUCUCUGCUCAAUUUUACUGUGAACCUGAAACUGCUCUAAAAGAAUAGUCUAUUAAAAAUAAAUAAAUCAAAUAAAAUAGAUAAAUUAGAGAAAAGGAUUCUAGCCCUCACUCAGUCUUUAAGAAAUUUAUUAAAAUUUUACUUAAUUUAUUCUAAUGUCUAUAAUUUGCUAAUGGUUAAAAAAUUUAAGUGGCUUCUCAAAGGACAUUUGGACCCUUUGGAAUUCAGUUUCUCUUCUUACCUGGUGACCUAAACUGUCGUGGAUUUUUAAAAGCAUUAUUUUAUAGAUUCUUUGGUUCUUUCUUGAUUUUCAGACUGUGAAAAUAUUUUCUUGGGGCAUUUUGGAGUCCCAGCAACUUGGAACGCGGGUCUCAUUUCUUUUGAGUAGUCAGUCUAGCUUUGUCAGUUUCACAAAAUACCAACAUUUUGAACGCUUUGAUUCUCUUACUGUAGAUUGGUUUUCUGUUUCAUUAAGUAUGCUUUCAUUUUUACUUUGGUUUAUUCUACUUUUUCUGUAUUUGUAUCAUGUGUAGAGAUUGACAUUUAGCUUGUUUUCAACUUUAAUUCUCUACUAGCAUGUGGCUCUGAGGCCACGAAUUUCACUGAAAUUAGUGAUUUGGCUGCAUCCUGAAAGUUUGAUGUAUAGCAUUAUCAGUAUUGUUCAUUUUUAAAUAUUUUAUAAUUUUCAAAAUAAAAUUUUCUUUGACCUAUAGGUUA